rnacentral:rRNA from 1 species
AACGAACGCUGGCGGCGUGCCUAACACAUGCAAGUCGAACGUGAUUGGAAGCUUGCUUCCAUGAAAGUGGCGCACGGGUGAGUAACGCGUAGAUAAUCUACCUGAUGAUUCGGGAUAACACUUCGAAAGGGGUGCUAAUACCGGAUAAGCCCACGGAGUCCUUGGACACUGCGGGAAAAGGGGGGAUCGCAAGACCUUCCGUCAUCAGAUGAGUCUGCGUACCAUUAGCUAGUUGGUGGGGUAAAGGCCUACCAAGGCGACGAUGGUUAGCUGGUCUGAGAGGAUGAUCAGCCACACUGGAACUGAGACACGGUCCAGACUCCUACGGGAGGCAGCAGUGGGGAAUUUUGCGCAAUGGGGGAAACCCUGACGCAGCAACGCCGCGUGAGUGAUGAAGGCCCUUGGGUCGUAAACCACUGUCAGAGGGGACGAAGGCCCGGGGUUAACUGCCACCGGGAUUGACGGUACCCUCGGAGGAAGCACCGGCUAACUCUGUGCCAGCCGCCGCUGUAAUAC